rnacentral:rRNA from 1 species
AGAGCUCGUAGGCGGGUUGUCGCGUCUGCCGUGAAAGUCCGAGGCUCAACCUCGGAUCUGCGGUGGGUACGGGCAGACUAGAGUGAUGUAGGGGAGACUGGAAUUCCUGGUGUAGCGGUGAAAUGCGCAGAUAUCAGGAGGAACACCGAUGGCGAAGGCAGGUCUCUGGGCAUUUACUGACGCUGAGGAGCGAAAGCAUGGGGAGCGAACAGGAUUAGAUACCCUGGUAGUCCAUGCCGUAAACGUUGGGCACUAGGUGUGGGGGACAUUCCACGUUUUCCGCGCCGUAGCUAACGCAUUAAGUGCCCCGCCUGGGGAGUACGGCCGCAAGGCUAAAACUCAAAGGAAUUGACGGGGGCCCGCACAAGCGGCGGAGCAUGCGGAUUAAUUCGAUGCAACGCGAAGAACCUUACCAAGGCUUGACAUGUGCCAGACCGCUCCAGAGAUGGGGUUUCCCUUCGGGGCUGGUUCACAGGUGGUGCAUGGUUGUCGUCAGCUCGUGUCGUGAGAUGUUGGGUUAAGUCCCGCAACGA